GAUGAACGCUGGCGGCGUGCCUAAUACAUGCAAGUAGAACGCUGAAGCUUGGUGCUUGCACCGAGCGGAUGAGUUGCGAACGGGUGAGUAACGCGUAGGUAACCUGCCUCUUAGCGGGGGAUAACUAUUGGAAACGAUAGCUAAUACCGCAUAAAAGACGAUAUCGCAUGAUAUUGAUUUGAAAGAUGCAAUUGCAUCACUAAGAGAUGGACCUGCGUUGUAUUAGCUAGUUGGUGAGGUAACGGCUCACCAAGGCGACGAUACAUAGCCGACCUGAGAGGGUGAUCGGCCACACUGGGACUGAGACACGGCCCAGACUCCUACGGGAGGCAGCAGUAGGGAAUCUUCGGCAAUGGGGGCAACCCUGACCGAGCAACGCCGCGUGAGUGAAGAAGGUUUUCGGAUCGUAAAGCUCUGUUGUAAGAGAAGAACGAGUGUGAGAGUGGAAAGUUCACACUGUGACGGUAACUUACCAGAAAGGGACGGCUAACUACGUGCCAGCAGCCGCGGUAAUACGUAGGUCCCGAGCGUUAUCCGGAUUUAUUGGGCGUAAAGCGAGCGCAGGCGGUUAGAUAAGUCUGAAGUUAAAGGCUGUGGCUUAACCAUAGUACGCUUUGGAAACUGUUUAACUUGAGUGCAGAAGGGGAGAGUGGAAUUCCAUGUGUAGCGGUGAAAUGCGUAGAUAUAUGGAGGAACACCGGUGGCGAAAGCGGCUCUCUGGUCUGUAACUGACGCUGAGGCUCGAAGCGUGGGGAGCAACAGG
rnacentral:rRNA from 1 species